CCUCAGGCUCUUCUCAGAGCCGACCCAUUUUCAGUAUUUGGAUUUCU
rfam:Loxodonta africana unplaced genomic scaffold scaffold_84, whole genome shotgun sequence.